UACAACUUUCAACAACGGAUCUCUUGGCUCUCGCAUCGAUGAAGAACGCAGCGAAAUGCGAUAAGUAAUGUGAAUUGCAGAAUUCAGUGAAUCAUCGAAUAUUUGAACGCACCUUGCGCUCUUUGGUAUUCCGAAGAGCAUGCCUGUUUGAGUGUCA
rnacentral:rRNA from 1 species